rnacentral:tRNA from 1 species
ACUUUGGUGGGAUAAGUUUUAAUCUUACCUCUUCUUUGAAAAAAGUCCCCCAGCUAUCUGGGGGGCUUUUUUUGUGCUAUUCGAACCCAGACUC